rnacentral:RNase_P_RNA from 1 species
GGAGUCGGUCAGGCAAUCGCUACAAGCAUCCGGCUUGGAGAGGAAAGUCCGGGCUCCUUCGGACAAGGCGCCAGGUAACGCCUGGGGGGCGCGAGCCCAUGGAAAGUGCCACAGAAAAUAUACCGCCAGCCCCGUCAUGGGGCCGGUAAGGGUGAAAAGGUGCGGUAAGAGCGCACCGCGCGACUGGUAACAGAUCGCGGCACGGUAAACCCCGCCUGGAGCAAGACCAAAUAGGGGAGUAGCAGCAUAGCUGCGCCGCCGGUUCCGAGCGGACUCCCGGGUAGGUCGCUAGAGGCAGUCGGUGACGGCUGUCCCAGAUGAAUGGUUGUCGAUGACAGAACCCGGCUUAUUGCUGGCUCCUGCC